UUUAAAAAAACAGAUGUACAAUAAAAUGAUAAAAACGAGUGCUUACAUUUAUUUUAUACAUGUCAGUAAACGGAUCAUGACACAGUUUUUUCCCCUUUUAAAAUCAUUUCAUGUAACUGACGGGGCUGAUUCAUUUAAAGGUGACGUGUGUUUCUAAAUAUGUUUGAGUGGAAGGCGUAAACCAGAUUCAGACGAGAUAAAUAACUCAUAUAUAUAUAAAUAAAUAAAUCAUAUAUAUAAUAGCACAAAUCAUUUAAAAUGAAGUUGAUAAAUGUUGGAUAGCGUACAGUGGGGAAACAGGACAGGUACGUAGAGCUCGCUAUCGGAUUUCACCCUGAAGGUUUCUCUAAGGAAGCAUCUGUUUUAGUUUAACCUGCCUGUUUUUAUGCUUCUCCUCUGGAAGUGACCAGAGGUGCGUUUAAGGGAACAUUUGAUCAUUUCUAAAAAAACAUCCAAACGCGAAACACACAAAGGCCUCCAGAGAGAAAUGUGUGUAAUCUUUGAGAAGGAGUGUUUGCAUGUUCCACAACGUGCUGCAAUCACACAAUCACCUCUUAUUAAAUGUAACUGUUGUUUAUUGAUUAUUGUAUUUUCAGAAAGUCAGGAAUGCGUCAGCCAUUUAAAUGUAACACGCAGUUGUGCACAGCUCUUUCUGUGCGUCAGACACCCCCACCUGAUUGUUAGGAAGGAGCCAGAAAAAAGGAAAGAUUUUUACUGAAUGAGCUCUUUCUUCCUCUUUCUUGCUUUUCUCUCUUUUCUUCCAUCUUCUUCUUCUUCUUUUAUUCAGUCCUGGAGUAUGGGCCUAGACCAUUUGUGUGUGUGUGUGUGUGUGUGUGUGUGUGUGUGUGUGUGUGUGUGUGUGUGUGUGUGUGUGUGUCUGUUGGGAACAUUUCUCACAUCUUUCUGAUUUGUAGGAGCAGAUCACUGUGUUUGCAUUGUUUAUGAACAUGUGACUAUAAUGGUCUAUAUACUGUGUGUAGCAUGAGCCACUGUAAUGUUAAGUAAGAUAAACUUUGGCUUUGAAUGUCAAAUAAAUGUCGUCAGUAUGAAUAUUUCUGUUAAGAUGCCACAUUUUUUGUAAAUGUAUAUGGAAGCAAAUGUGCAAACGAUGCCGCUGUCAUUAUUUCAAUGUCAUAUCAUUUAUAUUGUCUUAAAGUGAAGCUGCUGCUGCUGCUGCUGCUGUAGUACCAUGCACUGACUUCCAUGUAUGAAGGUAACUUUUUUUAAAGAGAGAUGCAUGCAGAAACAAGUCAAACACAAUGAAAUCACACCAAGUCACAUCAGGAUAACUAAGAAAGCCAGUAACUUUACUGAAAUCUCUGCAAAAUACAAAUAGCCUUUCCCUCCAGCAGAGGAGACUUUUAUUUCAUCCCCAUACGUUUUCACUACAUACAGCUGAAUCAAGUCCCUUGAGUUACAGAGAUGUGGAUUUAAUUUAAUACCAUCUUAGUCUCAAGUGGCGACAAAGGCCAGCUUAUGCCGCUGAAAGCCGCUCUUGCGUUCCAGAAAACAUUAGUUCCAAACCUCCCCCAUUUUCAGGUUUAUACAAGCUACAUUUGAUACUACAGACUGACUUUUUUUUUUUUGAAGCAUUGUAACAUAUUAAUUUUUUUUUUUUAAUUCCUUUUUUCAGCUUUUGAAUACAACUUAAAUAAACCACAAACACGGUGGAGCAACAAAGAAUCCCACCUGAAUAUAGGGACCUUAAGCAAUGGUAUUACAUGGUUAUUACACAUGGCUGUACAGUUGUAUGGUCUCCCCUUUUUCACUGCAAGUGACUUUAUCAAAACAUCAGCUGAGGUACUGCUUGGGUCAAUUUUGAGGUACCAACAUUUAGUCUAUUAAUAAUAAUGACAAAGAACAACUGAUCAACAGGUGAUGAAAAAAAAAGAAUGGCUUCAAAUUGAACAAACACAAAAAGAAAAAAAAAACAAAAGAAAAAAAAAAUAAUAAUAAAGACAAGUUUUCUUCAUGUCUUUGGUUAAAAUGAUCGUCAAAACUACAGCACUGUAAUUAACCAUGAGAACACGUUGGCAUUAUAUUUGUAGCGCGGCAAUAAGUGUGUAAUGUGUUUCGAUCAAGUGGACAGCAAGCAUGCAUUUCACAUGAUCAGGCCUGAAUUAUUCUGUUGACUGAAAUGACAAACUGUAAAAACCUUUUCAAUGCAAUGCACAGGGGAGGGGACAAAACAGGUACAUUAUUGUGGUUUGUAUCGACAAUGCAGCUUGAUGUCCAACGCUACAUUUGACUGACUGAAAUUGAAAUGUGAAACCGAUUGUACAUUUGAGCAAAUUCUUUUAUUGUUUUGUUUCAAUGCUUGCAAAAACCAUAAAUGAAUGUGAAAAUAAAAGUUGAGUUUACAACACAGAAAUGCCACUGGCUUUGGUUUCUCCACACUUAUGCUGCCUGAAACAUCAUGUUUUAUUUUGUUUUAUUUAUUUUUUUCUCAACCUUUUUUGUAUUGAAUUUUAAAAAAAGAGAAGAACACCAUUAUAGAGGCUCUGCCCCUGUUUGACUACACAGACUGUAUACAGUAACAACAUAGUGAACCUGCAUGAAAUAUGCACAUAGAAAUAUCAUAACACUUAAGUGACAGCAGAUACGGGAGUGGGAGGCAGAGAGAUAUGUGGCUAGUUUCAUUGUUUUAAAAAAGAGAAAAAAUCAAAACAGCUAUUUAUUUCAAAUAAACAAUUGUGCUUCGUUCAUACCAGCAUGAUCAAUCUGUCCUCGUGUUGUCUGACGCUGAGCUGUCAGUGACAUGUGGUAAAUGAUGUGGAGUCCUGUUUUGAAGAGUGGAACAUGAGGAGUCACAGGAUGACACGGGCUUAAAUUAAGUUUUGUAAAUGAUCGGGGAAUAAUUACUCACAAUGCGCUUUUGGAAAAUUCUAUUACGUAAAAAUAUGAUUCAAAAGAAAAUUUUUACAGAUUGUGUCUGGGGCUUGUGCGACGUCUCGAGCACAAGCUAGGAUUGUGGUGACGAUUUGAGAGAUGGCAGAUGAUGUAAAAAAAAAACAUGUUUUAUGAGAUUAACUAUAUUAAAUUAGAUAAUUAGGCUUUUAAGAAUGAAAUAUCCCAUGCAUUAAAAAAUGCAUCUAGACAUGGAUUGAGGGUCGGUCAUAUUUUCUCAUCAGUAUGACAAUCAUGUACAUCAUGUGUCAACAUUGAUUUCUGUGUCAUCCUCAGUUCCAGUCUCUUGACAUUUUCCACUAACAGGUUGUCGUUUUUUUUUCAGCAUUCAGGCCUGUCUUCCCUCCGUCACACAAACCCUGGCAAUGCUUUCCAGCUGGUUUUUAAGGUUAGACUAAAUACACCCCUGAACAGCACUGUUCAGGGCUCAAAAUGAAACAAACCAGACAACAUGUGCAACUGCACAUAAAAACUCCACUAAGAAAACCAACAAAAAAAAUCAUUAGUAUAUAUAUUUAUAUAUUAGAAAGCUAUACACAAGCAUGUUAAUUUCACAGAUUUUUUUUUUUUAAAGAUUCUUAAUAUUACCAUUAUUAUAUAUAAUUAGAAAUGCACGUUUAAAAACAAACCUCUACAAAGAUAAAACAGUUCAGCAAAGCAUCGGAUCUGUCUGUUUUUCAUGGCUUAGGGCGUCAGAGCCCUGUCAUUUCCCCCAUCUGGGUGAACUAUCCAUCUCUUAUUAGCAAAGCUAUCAAAAAACACAUUCUGGCUUAUAGAAACUACAAAAAGCCACAAAAAUGCUUUGCAUUGUAUUCCUUUCAUAUGAAAAUAUAAGCAAGUGUAUCGUACAAUUGUUUUUUAUUUUUCCUUUUUUUUCUCUUUUUCGUUUAUUAACACUGAAUAUUAAUACUAGAUCCAGAGUUUUCUUGAUUAUACUAACGUAGCUCUUAGAUCAAAGGGUGGUCCUCGCUCGGCUCCGGUCUUUUAAGGGGAGCGCUAAAAUCACCAAUCAAGGUUCCACACGUCUAGCAUUGGGUCUGCCUGUUUUACCUGUACAAUCCUUCAAAUGUUGCAUAAUAGCUUUUUCAUUUAGUGAGUAAAUAAAUCUUGUAAUGUCUGGCAACCUUUUGACCCCUGCCCCCUUCCCCCCUUGACCCUCUAUUUACAUAAAUACGUUGAACCUGCAACAUGACAUCAUCUAAUGUUAACACACAUUUUUGCAAGGGAGAACUGCAGAGAAGGUAUAUAGCAAUGAAACUGACACUGUACACAUGUAUUGUCUGUCCAACUCAAGUGCUAAGGUGUUUUCCACUGGACACACUCACUCUCAUGUUAAUGUUUUUUUUUUGUUUUUUCUUUCUUUUUUUUUUGUCUCUAGUCACUGAUAUAUCGCUGAGGCAAAGUGUAAGUACGUUUUAUGAAACAGAGUACCUGACUAUUUUUUUUUUGUUUAUUUGUUGAUAUGCAUAUAUGUACACA